rnacentral:rRNA from 1 species
AGUGAACGCUGGCGGUAGGCCUAACACAUGCAAGUCGAACGGCAGCACAGUAAGAGCUUGCUCUUACGGGUGGCGAGUGGCGGACGGGUGAGGAAUACAUCGGAAUCUACUUUUUCGUGGGGGAUAACGUAGGGAAACUUACGCUAAUACCGCAUACGACCUACGGGUGAAAGCAGGGGAUCUUCGGACCUUGCGCGAUUGAAUGAGCCGAUGUCGGAUUAGCUAGUUGGCGGGGUAAAGGCCCACCAAGGCGACGAUCCGUAGCUGGUCUGAGAGGAUGAUCAGCCGCACUGGAACUGGGACAGGGUCCAGAGUACUACGGGAGGCAGCAGUGGGGAAUAUUGGACAAUGGGCGCAAGCCUGAUCCAGCCAGACCGCGUGGGUGAAGAAGGCCUUCGGGUUGUAAAGCCCUUUUGUUGGGAAAGAAAAGCAGCAGGUUAAUACCCCGCUGUUCUGACGGUACCCAAAGAAUAAGCACCGGCUAACUUCGUG